GUGCCAGCAGCCGCGGUAAUACGGAAGGGGCUAGCGUUGUUCGGAAUCACUGGGCGUAAAGCGCGCGUAGGCGGCUUGGCAAGUGAGGCGUGAAAGUCCUGGGCUCAACCCGGGGACGGCGCUUCAGACUGCGGGGCUAGAGUCCGGAAGAGGGUGGUGGAAUUCCGAGUGUAGAGGUGAAAUUCGUAGAUAUUCGGAGGAACACCGGCGGCGAAGGCGGCCACCUGGUCCGGAACUGACGCUCAAGUGCGAAAGCGUGGGGAGCAAACAGGAUUAGAUACCCUAGUAGUCC
rnacentral:rRNA from 1 species